CCUACGGGUGGCAGCAGUGAGGAAUAUUGGUCAAUGGGAGGGAUCCUGAACCAGCCAAGCCGCGUGAGGGAAGACGGUGCCAUGCGUUGUAAACCUCUUUUGUCGGAGAACAAAACCCGGGACGUGACCCUGACUGCGGGUAUUCGAAGAAAAAGCAUCGGCUAACUCCGUGCCAGCAGCCGCGGUAAUACGGAGGAUGCGAGCGUUAUCCGGAUUUAUUGGGUUUAAAGGGAGCGUAGGCCGGAUGUCAAGCGUGCUGUGAAAUGUCCGGGCUCAACCCGGGCCUUGCAGCGCGAACUGGCGUGCUUGAGACGGCGGAAGGCAGGCGGAAUGCGUCGUGUAGCGGUGAAAUGCUUAGAUAUGGCGAAGAACCCCGAUUGCGAAGGCAGCUUGCUGCAGGGGAACUGACGCUGAUGCUCGAAAGCGCGGGUAUCGAACAGGAUUAGAUACCCGAGUAGUC
rnacentral:rRNA from 1 species